GUCAGGUGUCUCCUGGAGUUCCCCUGAUCACUUCACUGGGGUGGGCUACAGUUUCCAGGAAACCCUACUGAAGUGUUUGGGGGAACUCCGGUGGCCAUUUGAC
rnacentral:pre_miRNA from 1 species